rnacentral:rRNA from 1 species
CUACGGGAUGCUCCAGUCACGAAUCUUCCACAAUGGCCGCAAGGCUGAUGGAGCAAUACCGCGUGCAUGAUGAAGCCCUUCGGGGUGUAAAAUGCUUUUAUCUAGGAAUAAUUUUGAAGGUACUAGACGAAUAAGGGGCUGCUAACCUCGUGCCAGCAGCAGCGGUAAUACGAGGGCCCCGAGCGUUAUCCGGAUUUAUUGGGCGUAAAGCGUCCGCAGGCGGUUUGGUAAGUUCUGCUUCAAAUCUUGAUGCUCAACAUUAAGACUGGGCAGAAAACUAUCAAACUAGAGAAUGGAGAGGUCAACGGAAUGGCCGGUGUAGGGGUUAAAUCCGUUAAUAUCGGCUAGAACACCAAAAGCGAAGGCAGUUGACUGGAACAUUUCUGACGCUCAUGGACGAAAGCGUGGGGAGCGAACGGGAUUAGAUACCCGCGUAGUC